CUUUCGUUGGUGCCCCAACGCACUUGGAGAUCAACUUUCAAAACUGGAUCCGUCGUUGCCGGCUGGCUAUCGGUAGCCCAGACUUCGGAGACGCAGCUAUAUUUCAGGCUGUCAGGGCAGGGCUUCGCAGCCACAUUGUCCGUGAGCAAGCACUGUAUGGUCUUGUGGAGUGCUCUCGCCGCUGGCUGACGUCUACUCGUCUUUUCCGCCACGUUCAGGGUCCCCGGGGAAACGUCACAUAGUGCAUAUCGGCGGUUCCGGCCCUUGUUGAGUUUUCCUCCUCGCGUCGCAGCAAAACAUGACGUCACAGGAGAAUGGAAUGACCAUACGGCCACUGCAGCGCAGUAAAGUUGAAGAACAGCGUGUCUUACGCAUCUCCUUCCGGCUAAAGCCAAAGACAGACAGCGAUUUCUAGCAGACUGGAAGGAAGGACUCGACGAUAACGACCACCAUAAGAAAGCCAUCAAAUCAAGGCUUAGCGGAGUGAUGUCAGCCGCUUCAAGACCAGGUAUCAGGGGAAUGACUUUUCUUUUUUAUUUCUUUUUUUUUUAUCAUUAUCGAGAACAGCCUUCUACCUAUAAUAUACCUCUACCCCCAGCGAUGUGCCACCAUCGAAGAUAUAUAACUUUAAGGCAGGUCUCUCGGUAGAUAAACGGCACACACCCAAAAGUACAGCAAUCAGGUUGCCCUUAUCACUAUACAUAAACACUGUAAACAACAAAAAAAAGAAAAGAAAAGAAAAAAGAAGACGCAAUUUUCGACUGUUGUGAAUCGAGCACUUUGAUCAAUUUCCAAUCGCGAUAAAUUGCAUUUUCCAAAUUGAGAUCCAAA